rnacentral:rRNA from 1 species
UACGUAGGUGGCAAGCGUUGUCCGGAUUUACUGGGCGUAAAGAGCGCGCAGGCGGUCGUUCAAGUCGCGUGUGAAAGCCCCCGGCUCAACUGGGGAGGGUCACGCGAUACUGAUCGACUCGAAGGCAGGAGAGGGUAGUGGAAUUCCACGUGUAGCAGUGAAAUGCGUAGAGAUGUGGAGGAACACCGAUGGCGAAGGCAGCCCCCUGGGCCGACACUGACGCUCAUGCACGAAAGCGUGGGGAGCAAACAGG